CCUACGGGUGGCUGCAGUAGGGAAUUUUCGGCAAUGGGGGGAACCCUGACCGAGCAACGCCGCGUGAACGAUGACGUCAUUCGUAAUGUAAAGUUCUUUUAACCGGGAAGAAAGAGAAAUUUGACGGUACCUGAAGACUAAGCCCCGGCUAACUACGUGCCAGCAGCCGCGGUAAUACGUAGGGGGCGAGCGUUAUCCGGAAUUAUUGGGCGUAAAGGGUGCGUAGAUGGCAUAGUAAGUCUUGUGUAAAAAUGCUGGGCUCAACCCAGUAGGGCAAAAGAUACUGCAACGCUAGAGUAUGCCAGAGGUAAGUGGAACUACAGGUGUAGCGGUAAAAUGCGUAGAUAUAUGGAAGAACACCAGUGGCGAAGGCGGCGUGCUGGGUCGCUACUGACAUUGAGGCACGAAAGCGUGGGGAGCAAACAGGAUUAGAUACCCCAGUAGUC
rnacentral:rRNA from 1 species